CCUACGGGAGACAGCAGUGAGGAAUAUUGGUCAAUGGACGCAAGUCUGAACCAGCCAUGCCGCGUGCAGGAUGACGGCUCUCUGAGUUUUAAACUGCUUUUGUACGAGGGUAAACGCAGAUACGCGUAUCUGUCUGAACGUAUCGUACGAAUAAGGAUCGGCUAACUCCGUGCCAGCAGCCGCGGUAAUACGGAGGAUUCAAGCGUUAUCCGGAUUUAUUGGGUUUAAAGGGUGCGUAGGCGGUCGGAUAAGUUAGAGGUGAAAUCCCGAGGCUCAACUUCGGAAUUGCCUCUGAUACUGGUCGGCUAGAGAGUAGGUGCGGUAGGCGGAAUGUAUGGUGUAGCGGUGAAAUGCUUAGAGAUCAUACAGAACACCGAUGGCGAAGGCAGCUUACCAGGCUACAUCUGACGUUGAGGCGCGAAAGCGUGGGGAGCAAACAGGAUUAGAUACCCUAGUAGUC
rnacentral:rRNA from 1 species